ACUUGUCUUAGAAAAUGUACCUUGGGAACAAGCUUUUAGUAAAAUGAUUUUAUAUUGUGAAAAUGUGCUAUACAAUGGUUUAUGUGUUAUCACAAUAUGAUAAUAUGCAUUGGAUGCUUCUUUACAUGUUGAUUUGAACCCGGCUAUGUGCGAGUAGGAGUGCACAUAAGCCGUUGCUGACCCGGCUAUGUGUGAGUGGGAGUGCACAUAAGCCGUUGUUGCCUCCGUAGCUUAUAGGGCUGGAUGCUUCGUGAUCUUCCACCCUAUGAGUGCUUUGAUAGGUAUGAUCUGUGGCGAAGUAUGACUCUCCACCCAAGAGCUUGGAGGAGGAGGGAAGGGACUGCUCCGUUG
rnacentral:lncRNA from 1 species